rnacentral:misc_RNA from 1 species
GGUCCAUAAAUUUCUUUCAAAUGAAGUGAACAGAGUUCAAUUUUCCUUCUAUUUCAGCUGGUAAAUGACAGAAAGGCUAGAAUCUGAAAUUGGGAAUUUGAGUAGUUCCUAUUAUCGUCUUGGGGCUGAUCUUGGUAUUAGCUUGUUGCAAAUUCUGGUGUUGCCAAUUGUUGUAUUAAUCAACUAUGCGGAUCACAAAACAUUGUACAAAUAUGAAAGUAACACAGGCAAUACGUAAACACUACUGUAAAAUUAGUGCUUGAAAUGGGAUUCAUUGUGGCUUUCCCUUGGUGUCGUG